rnacentral:rRNA from 1 species
GGUGAACGCUGGCGGCGUGCCUAAUACAUGCAAGUCGAGCGAACGGACGAGAAGCUUGCUUCUCUGAUAUUAGCGGCGGACGGGUGAGUAACACGUGGAUAACCUACCUAUAAGACUGGGAUAACUUCGGGAAACCGUAGCUAAUACCGGAUAAUAUUUUGAACCGCAUGGUUCAAAAGUGAAAGACGGUCUUGCUGUCACUUAUAGAUGGAUCCGCGCUGCAUUAGCUAGUUGGUAAGGUAACGGCUUACCAAGGCAACGAUGCAUAGCCGACCUGAGAGGGUGAUCGGCCACACUGGAACUGAGACACGGUCCAGACUCCUACGGGAGGCAGCAGUAGGGAAUCUUCCGCAAUGGGCGAAAGCCUGACGGAGCAACGCCGCGUGAGUGAUGAAGGUCUUCGGAUCGUAAAACUCUGUUAUUAGGGAAGAACAUAUGUGUAAGUAACUGUGCACAUCUUGACGGUACCUAAUCAGAAAGCCACGGCUAACUACGU